rnacentral:rRNA from 1 species
UACGGAGGGUGCAAGCGUUAUCCGGAUUCAUUGGGCUUAAAGGGUGCGUAGGUGGGCUAGUAAGUCCGUGGUGAAAUCUCCAAGCUUAACUUGGAAACUGCCGUGGAUACUAUUAGUCUUGAAUAUUGUGGAGGUAAGCGGAAUAUGUCAUGUAGCGGUGAAAUGCUUAGAUAUGACAUAGAACACCGAUAGCGAAGGCAGCUUGCUACACAAUCAUUGACACUGAGGCACGAAAGCGUGGGGAUCAAACAGG